rnacentral:tRNA from 1 species
GGCUCGGUAGCUUAGUUGGUGAAGCGCUCAUCUAGCAUACAAGGAGUCCUGGGUUCAAAUCCCAGCCGAGCAC